rnacentral:lncRNA from 1 species
CUUUUCUUGAGGGACUAAUGUAGCUGUUAUGUCUUCCACCAUUUUCCCAUGUUUCUGUCGUAACAUUUUUAGUUCCUCCAAACCAGCAACGUUUGCUUCAUAUUUUUGUUGAAAACGUGAAUCUGGUUUCUUGAGUAUUGGUACACGUAAUCCACCAGGCAAGUCAUCCAAUGAUCGACUUCUAGGGACAUACUCUGGUGGCUUCUUUGGUUGUCUGGUAUACUUAAUGAUGCUUUCAGCAUCUUUGUCAGUCUCAUCACUAAAGAUUUGCGUCCCCAUUUUGGAAAUUUACACAAGGUUACGUUUUAACAUAGACACUUCUCAUUUUUCUAAACUGAAUAGCGUUUAUUAGAUUUUCUGUCCAUUUUCUCACUGUCCUGUGGCGAUGAAAGUGAUACUUAAAUAAACUAAUUGCUGAAUAGAUAGACACUACUUUUUCAUUUCUCGACGGGAAUAUCCAGACUAUAGAAAAAUUACAGAUCACGCACAAAAUGUUAUUUAGUUUUUAUGUAGAGUUACGUGCCUUCGAGCAUUUCGAAAUUCAGUAUAAAACGUAUUUAUAUAUCAAAAACAUUUUUCAAUUUGAACAUUUAAGGCUGCUAUAACUAUCUACACUGAUAAGAUAUGCUUUAAAUAUCAAAUUUAUAUACAUCACCUCCAGGCGAACCAACAAAUCACGUGCUUA